rnacentral:rRNA from 1 species
GAUGAACGCUGGCGGCGUGCCUAAUACAUGCAGGUCGAGCGAACAGAUGAGGAGCUUGCUCCUCUGACGUUAGCGGCGGACGGGUGAGUAACACGUGGAUAACCUACCUAUAAGACUGGGAUAACUACGGGAAACCGGAGCUAAUACCGGAUAAUAUAUUGAACCGCAUGGUUCAAUAGUGAAAGACGGUUUUGCUGUCACUUAUAGAUGGAUCCGCGCCGCAUUAGCUAGUUGGUAAGGUAACGGCUUACCAAGGCAACGAUGCGUAGCCGACCUGAGAGGGUGAUCGGCCACACUGGAACUGAGACACGGUCCAGACUCCUACGGGAGGCAGCAGUAGGGAAUCUUCCGCAAUGGGCGAAAGCCUGACGGAGCAACGCCGCGUGAGUGAUGAAGGUCUUCGGAUCGUAAAACUCUGUUAUUGGGGAAGAACAAAUGUGUAAGUAACUAUGCACGUCUUGACGGUACCUAAUCAGAAAGCCACGGCUAACUACGUG